AUUGAACGCUGGCGGCAGGCCUAACACAUGCAAGUCGAGCGGAUGAAGGGAGCUUGCUCCUGGAUUCAGCGGCGGACGGGUGAGUAAUGCCUAGGAAUCUGCCUGGUAGUGGGGGAUAACGUCCGGAAACGGGCGCUAAUACCGCAUACGUCCUGCGGGAGCAAGUGGGGGAUCUUCGGACCUCACGCUAUCAGAUGAGCCUAGGUCGGAUUAGCUAGUUGGUGGGGUAAAGGCCUACCAAGGCGACGAUCCGUAACUGGUCUGAGAGGAUGAUCAGUCACACUGGAACUGAGACACGGUCCAGACUCCUACGGGAGGCAGCAGUGGGGAAUAUUGGACAAUGGGCGAAAGCCUGAUCCAGCCAUGCCGCGUGUGUGAAGAAGGUCUUCGGAUUGUAAAGCACUUUAAGUUGGGAGGAAGGGCAGUAAGUUAAUACCUUGCUGUUUUGACGGUACCAACAGAAUAAGCACCGGCUAACUUCGUG
rnacentral:rRNA from 1 species